CACCGAUACUGCAUGAGGGGUUCUCCGGAUCCAGACCGGGGAGGCAACGAGGAAAGUCCGGUGGCGGGAGUCUCUCCCCAGUCCGGCACUGUCCCGCAGCUGUGAUGGCCCCGCCGCCUGCCCCCCAGGCCGGCCCGCCUCAGUCAGAACGCUCGCCCCAUCCACCACCUUUCG
rnacentral:ncRNA from 2 species